UAAUACGUAGGCAGCAAGCGUUGUUCGGAGUUACUGGGCGUAAAGGGUGUGUAGGCGGUCCUGUAAGUUUGGUGUGAAAUCUCCCGGCUCAACUGGGAGGGUGCGCCGAAAACUGCAGGGCUAGAGUGCGGGAUGGGAGAGUGGAAUUCCUGGUGUAGCGGUGAAAUGCGUAGAUAUCAGGAGGAACACCGGUGGUGUAGACGGCUCUCUGGACCGUUACUGACGCUGAAACACGAAAGCGUGGGUAGCAAACAGGAUUAGAUACCCUGGUAGUCCACGCCCUAAACGAUGCAUGCUUGGUGUGGGCCAUUCAUUUGGUCCGUGCCGGAGCUAACGCGUUAAGCAUGCCGCCUGGGGAGUACGGUCGCAAGGCUG
rnacentral:rRNA from 1 species